rnacentral:rRNA from 1 species
GAGUUUGAUCCUGGCUCAGAUUGAACGCUGGCGGCAUGCCUUACACAUGCAAGUCGAGCGGCAGCGCGGGGGCAACCCUGGCGGCGAGCGGCGAACGGGUGAGUAAUACAUCGGAACGUGUCCAGUAGUGGGGGAUAACCUGUCGAAAGAUAGGCUAAAUACCGCAUACGAUCUACGGAUGAAAGCGGGGGACCGCAAGGCCUCGCGCUAUUGGAGCGGCCGAUGUCGGAUUAGCUAGUUGGCGGGGUAAAAGCCCACCAAGGCGACGAUCCGUAGCUGGUCUGAGAGGACGACCAGCCACACUGGAACUGAGACACGGUCCAGACUCCUACGGGAGGCAGCAGUGGGGAAUUUUGGGAC